rnacentral:rRNA from 1 species
ACGGGAGGCAGCAGUGGGGAAUAUUGGGCAAUGGGCGAAAGCCUGACCCAGCGACGUCGCGUGAAGGAAGAAGGCCCUCGGGUUGUAAACUUCAGUCAACAGGGAAGAAAGAAAUGACGGUACCUGUGGAGGAAGCCACGGCUAACUACGUGCCAGCAGCCGCGGUAAUACGUAGGUGGCGAGCGUUAUCCGGAUUUACUGGGUGUAAAGGGAGCGUAGACGGUUUGGCAAGUCUGAAGUGAAAUGCGGGGGCUCAACUCCUGAACUGCUUUGGAAACUGUCGAACUAGAGUGCAGGAGAGGUAAGUGGAAUUCCUAGUGUAGCGGUGAAAUGCGUAGAUAUUAGGAGGAACACCAGUGGCGAAGGCGGCUUACUGGACUGUAACUGACGUUGAGGCUCGAAAGCGUGGGGAGCAAACAGGAUUAGAUACCCUGGUA